GUCUACGGCCAUACCACCCUGAACACGCCCGAUCUCGUCUGAUCUCGGAAGCUAAGCAGGGUCGGGCCUGGAAUACCAAAGGAGACCACCCGGACCGAAACAAGACAGGACUAGAAU
ensembl:rRNA 5S_rRNA 5S ribosomal RNA